rnacentral:rRNA from 1 species
GAUGAACGCUGGCGGCGUGCCUAAUACAUGCAAGUCGAGCGAACAGACGAGGAGCUUGCUCCUCUGACGUUAGCGGCGGACGGGUGAGUAACACGUGGAUAACCUACCUAUAAGACUGGGAUAACUUCGGGAAACCGGAGCUAAUACCGGAUAAUAUAUUGAACCGCAUGGUUCAAUAGUGAAAGACGGUUUUGCUGUCACUUAUAGAUGGAUCCGCGCCGCAUUAGCUAGUUGGUAAGGUAACGGCUUACCAAGGGGACGCUGCGUAGCCGCCCUGAGAGGGUGAUCGGCCACACUGGAACUGAGACACGGUCCAGACUCCUACGGGAGGCAGCAGUAGGGAAUCUUCCGCAAUGGGCGAAAGCCUGACGGAGCAACGCCGCGUGAGUGAUGAAGGUCUUCGGCUCGUAAAACUCUGUUCUUAGGGAAGACCAAAUGUGUAAGUAACUAUGCACGUCUUGACGGUACCUAAUCAGAAAGCCACGGCUAACUACGUG